rnacentral:rRNA from 1 species
GACGAACGCUGGCGGCGUGCUUAACACAUGCAAGUCGAACGGAAAGGCCCUGCUUUUGUGGGGUGCUCGAGUGGCGAACGGGUGAGUAACACGUGAGUAACCUGCCCUUGACUUUGGGAUAACUUCAGGAAACUGGGGCUAAUACCGGAUAGGAGCUCCUGCUGCAUGGUGGGGGUUGGAAAGUUUCGGCGGUUGGGGAUGGACUCGCGGCUUAUCAGCUUGUUGGUGGGGUAGUGGCUUACCAAGGCUUUGACGGGUAGCCGGCCUGAGAGGGUGACCGGCCACAAGGCGACUGAGAGACGGCCCAGGCGCCAACGGGAGGCAGCAGGCGGGAAUAUUGCACAGUAGGCGGAAGCCUGAUGCAGCAACGCCGCGUGCGGGAUGACGGCCUUCGGGUUGUAAACCGCUUUCGCCUGUGACGAAGCGUGAGUGACGGUAAUGGGUAAAGAAGCACCGGCUAACUACGUG